rnacentral:lncRNA from 1 species
GGGAGGAGGAGGGGAGGAGGAGGACGAGGACCAGGAGGACAAGGAGGAGCAGCAGGAGGAAGAGGAGGAGCAGCAGGAGGAAGGAGGAGGAGGAAAGGGAGGAGAGGAAGGAGAAGAAGAAGAGGAAGAGAAGAAGGAUGAGGAGGAGAGAGAGGAGAGGAAGAGAAGGAGGAAGAGGAAGAGGAGGAGGGGAUGGGGAGAAGUGAGGCUGGGAAUGUGGCUCAGUGGCUCAGUGCCCUUGUUUAAGUUCCUAGAACUUCAAAUGAAUGAAUAAACAGCAUAAACAGAUACGUAAGAACUCCGGGUCCCCAGAGCGAGGACAGGCCUUCUUUGGAAUCAGGUCUUUCUCUCACGAAGUCAUCUGGCCAGAAACAAUGGCUACCCAAAGGCAGGCAGUGGGGGGGUAUUUUCUGGACGGAAGUGGCUGUAGACUGAGCUAUCACUAUAGAAUUCCUUCUUCAAGUAGGAGUCAAGAGACUAUGUACUCAUGGAAACCAAUGGUUAUGUCUUAAGGUCAACGGUUCUGUCGAUUCUAGUGCUCACGAUCAAGUAAGGGUUUAGUCUAGCGAAUCAAAUGAAAGCCAUCCACCCCUCCCCCUUUGAAUACCCUGGUGAUCUAAGCAUAAAAAGGAAAUAGAGAGCACAGAGCACUGUCUUUUAAUAUUUGUGAGGAGCAUAAAUCAUAAUGGUUUGUAUACUACACUAUACAAAUGAUAGACUGUUACUUUCCAAAGAAAACCGACUUCUUUGAGGGUUUCCCAAACAGUUAGUCACUCCAUAGAGCUAAGAGCUUGACCCUUUAGCCGUUGCUACAGCACAUGGAAUACAGGCAGUUAAGUCCCCCCAGUCUUCCAACUGUGCCUGUUUCUGCUGCCGACGAGGGAGGGGCCUCUCGGGGGCCUCUUGCGGCCCCUUCCAUCUCCUGCGCCACCAAAUGUGGGCUCUGCAGGGCAGGCGAGUGCCGACGAGGCAACCUCUGGUCUCGGCUUCCCACAAUCCUCCUCCUCCCCGUUAAGAGAACUUGCGUUUCUUCAUGGCUUCCGCCUUGACCGCCAGGCUCUUGGCACAGAUGGUCAGGACCACGAUGAGAACACCCACCACAAACGCCACCACCGGCCAGAGGAAGCAGUGCAGGAGAGCAAUCUCGUCGUGUGUGCGCUGUAGGAGAACGUCCUCUGGUCUGCAAGAGAGUGGAGGACAGGAAAGGAAGACCAUCAUUACUGAGGAUGGCACUGAAUGCCAUUAUCACAAUAAGGAACAACCCAGCCAGUGAAAGAGCUCCUAAGAGGGAGUCUGGAACCACCACACCCCGGAGCACUGGCUGGAGAAAACCCGGGAGGAAACGGGCAGGAGAGAAGGAAGCGACCGGAAACUGUUGGAUCCAAAAGCGUGUUUUCCUCAGAAACUUUCUAGAAUUCCAUCUCCUGGAUCUUGGGCAACACUUAUGUUUCAGAGCUUUAAGUGACAAAAUAAAAUGACUCAUUGGAGCUGAAUUUGAACCACU